CCAGUGGCAUCGCCGGGUAGCUAUGUUCGGAAGAGAUAACCGCUGAAAGCAUCUAAGCGGGAAACUCGCCUUAAGAUGAGAUAUCCCUGGGGACUAGAUCCCCUUGAAGGGUCGUUCGAGACCAGGACGUUGAUAGGUCAGGUGUGUAAGCGCAGUAAUGCGUUCAGCUAACUGAUACUAAUUGCCCGUAAGGCUUGAUCCUAUAACG
rnacentral:rRNA from 1 species